rnacentral:misc_RNA from 1 species
UUUCCUUUUAAAGGGGAGUAGCUGCUACAAUAAAGUCGUCAUUUCGAGAAUCUAGGUUCUCCGGCUUUGUUGGCAACAUUCAUGUUGUUAGCAAGACCUUUACAUUUUCG